UACGGGGGGGGCAAGCGUUGUUCGGAAUUACUGGGCGUAAAGGGCUCGUAGGCGGCCAACUAAGUCAGACGUGAAAUCCCUCGGCUUAACCGGGGAACUGCGUCUGAUACUGGAUGGCUUGAGGUUGGGAGAGGGAUGCGGAAUUCCAGGUGUAGCGGUGAAAUGCGUAGAUAUCAGGAGGAACACCGGUGGCGAAGGCGGGUCUCUGGGCCGAUAUCGACGCUGAGGAGCGAAAGCGUGGGGAGCGAACAGG
rnacentral:rRNA from 1 species